rnacentral:rRNA from 1 species
GAUGAACGCUGGCGGCGUGCCUAAUACAUGCAAGUCGAGCGAACAGACGAGGAGCUUGCUCCUCUGACGUUAGCGGCGGACGGGUGAGUAACACGUGGAUAACCUACCUAUAAGACUGGGAUAACUUCGGGAAACCGGAGCUAAUACCGGAUAAUAUAUUGAACCGCAUGGUUCAAUAGUGAAAGACGGUUUUGCUGUCACUUAUAGAUGGAUCCGCGCCGCAUUAGCUAGUUGGUAAGGUAACGGCUUACCAAGGCGACGAUGCGUAGCCGACCUGAGAGGGUGAUCGGCCACACUGGAACUGAGACACGGUCCAGACUCCACGGGAGGCAGCAGUAGGGAAUCUUCCACAAUGGGCGAAAGCCUGACGGAGCAACGCCGCGUGAGUGAUGAAGGUCUUCGGAUCGUAAAACUCUGUUAUUAGGGAAGAACAAAUGUGUAAGUAACUAUGCACGUCUUGACGGUACCUAAUCAGAAAGCCACGGCUAACUACGUG